rnacentral:rRNA from 1 species
ACUUCAGGACGGGGACAACAGUUGGAAACGACUUCUAAUACCCGAUGUGCCGGGAGGUGAAACCUAAUUGGCCUGAAGAAGAGCUUGCGUCUGAUUAGCUAGUUGGUGGGGUAAGAGCCUACCAAGGCGACGAUCAGUAGCUGGUCUGAGAGGAUGAGCAGCCACACUGGGACUGAGACACGGCCCAGACUCCUACGGGAGGCAGCAGUGGGGAAUUUUCCGCAAUGGGCGAAAGCCUGACGGAGCAAACGCCGCGUGAGGGAGGAAGGUCUUUGGAUUGUAAACCUCUUUUCUCAAGGAAGAAGUUCUGACGGUACUUGAGGAAUCAGCCUCGGCUAACUCCGUGCCAGCAGCCGCGGUAAUACGGGGGAGGCAAGCGUUAUCCGGAAUUAUUGGGCGUAAAGCGUCCGCAGGUGGUCAGCCAAGUCUGCUGUCAAAUCAGGUUGCUUAACGACCUA